rnacentral:lncRNA from 1 species
AAUUCCUGCUGUGGGAAUUCCCUGUCCUCCUUUAUUCUACACAGAAUUCCUGUUCCAUGAAUUCCCUGUCCUCCUUUAUCCUACCCCAAAUUCCCACUCCAUGAAUUCCCUGUCCUCCUUUAUCCUACCCCAAAUUCCCACUCCAGGAAUUCCCUGUCCUCAGCACAGCAGCUCCAGCUCCUGGGGUUGGGAACACUCGGGUUUUUUCCUACUGGGAUGUUCAAUUUUAAGGAAAAAGAAGAAACCAGGAACAUUCCUGGGAUGAAAGGAGCAGGGACAAGCUCUGGGAGCAUUGCUGAAGCUCCAGGAACAUUCCUGGGGGGAAGAGAGCCAGGAACAGGCUCUGGGAGCAUUCCUGGAGCUCCAGGAACAUUCCUGGGAUGAGAGGAGCAGGAACAGGCUCCAGGAACAUUCCUGGAGCUCCAGGAACAUUCCCAGAGGUCCAGGAACAUUCCCAGUGGGAAAGGGAGCAGGAACAGGCUCCAGGAGCAUUCCCAGAGCUCCAGGAGCAUUCCCAGGGGGAAGAGAGCCAGGAACAGGCUCUGGGACCAUUCCUGGAGCUCCAGGAACAUUCCUGGGAUGAGAGGAGCAGGAACAGGCUCCAGGAGCAUUCCCAGAGCUCCAGGAGCAUUCCCAAGGGGAAGAGAGCCAGGAACAGGCUCUGGGAGCAUUCCUGGAGCUCUAGGAACAUUCCCAAGGUGAGAGGAGCAGGAACAGGCUCCAGGAACACUCCCAGAGCUCCAGGAGCAUUCCCAGAGCUCCAGGAACAUUCCCAGAGCUCCAGGAGCAUUCCCAGGGGGAAGAGAGCCAGGAAAAGUCUCCGGGAGCCGAUUCCCUGUGCUGAGCAAUUCCUGCCCCUGGCACUGCAGGAUCACAGAGCUCCAGCCUGGCCAGAAACUUCCUCAGCCUCGGGAGCAGCUGAACUUCCAGACCCUUCCAGACCCUUCCAGACCCUUCUAGACCCUUCCCAACCCUUCCAAACCCUUCCAAACCCUUCCAGACCCUUCCAUACCCUUCCAAACCCUUUCAGACCCUUCCCGACCCUUCCAGAUCCUUCCAAACCCUUCCAAACCCUUCUGGACCCUUCUGGACCCUCCCAGACCCCUCCAAACCCUUCCAGACCCUUCCAAACCCUUCCAAACCCUUCCCAACCCCUCCAAACCCUUCCAAACCCUU